rnacentral:rRNA from 1 species
CUACCAAGCCGACGAUCCAUAGCUGGUCUGAGAGGAUGAUCAGCCAGACUGGAACUGAGACACGGUCCAGACUCCUACGGGAGGCAGCAGUGAGGAAUCUUCCACAAUGGGCGAAAGCCUGAUGGAGCAACGCCGCGUGCAGGACGAAGGCCUUCGGGUUGUAAACUGCUUUUAUAAGUGAGGAAUAUGACGGUAACUUAUGAAUAAGGAUCGGCUAACUACGUGCCAGCAGCCGCGGUCAUACGUAGGAUCCGAGCGUUAUCCGGAGUGACUGGGCGUAAAGAGUUGCGUAGGCGGUUGUAUAAGUGAAUAGUGAAAUCUGAUGGCUCAACCAUACAGGCUAUUAUUCAAACUGUACAACUCGAGAGUGGUAGAGGUCACUGGAAUUUCUUGUGUAGGAGUGAAAUCCGUAGAUAUAAGAAGGAACACCGAUGGCGUAGGCAGGUGACUAGACCAUUUCUGACGCUAAGGCACGAAAGCGUGGGGAGCGAACCGGAUUAGAUACCCGGGUAGUCCACGCCGUAAACGAUGGAUACUAGCUGUUGGAGGUAUCGACCCCUUCAGUAGCGAAGCUAACGCGUUAAGUAUCCCGCCUGUGGAGUACGGCCGCAAGGCUAAAACAUAAAGGAAUUGACGGGGACCCGCACAAGCGGUGGAUCGUGUUCUUUAAUUCGAUGAUAAACGAAGAACCUUACCAGGGCUUGACAUCCAGGGAAGGUCUGCGAAAGCGGACUGUGCCUUUUGGAACCCUGUGACAGGUGCUGCAUGGCCGUCGUCAGCUCGUGUCGUGAGAUGUUUGGUUAAGUCCAUCAACGAGCGCAACCCUUGCAACUAGUUGGAUUUUUCUAGUUGGACUGCCCCGGUAACGGGGAGGAAGGAGGGGAUGAUGUCAGGUCAGUAUUGCCCUUACGUCCUGGGCUAGAAACACGAUACAAUGGCUAGUACAAUGCGCAGCGAAGCCGCGAGGUGAAGCAAAUCGCAUCAAAGCUAGU